rnacentral:lncRNA from 1 species
CCAGAAAAAUUAGGAAAAAAACGAAAUAUAGCAUCUAGUUAUAUGAGACUGCGUUCUAAGUUUUCGGCAGUUUGAAUCCGAUUCCUUUCCCACCAGUAAGUGAGGAUUCCCAGGGGAGGACAGGUGAAGGGCUUAAAAGCCCGUGGUCUAUUAUGCAUACAAACAGCGCAUGCAGCUGGCUUUUCUUAAGUGCGAGGCAGGCAUCCCCUCUGUUUCUGAAUCUCUUGUUCUUUAUGUUCCUGUCAGCCUCUAUGUUGGAUA